UGAGCAACCUGCCCCCUACUUCGGGAUACGCCUUGGAAACGAGGUCUAAUACCGGAUAUGAGCACCUGCCGCAUGGUGGGUGUUGGAAAGUUUUUCGGUGGGGGAUGGGCUCGCGGCCUAUCAGCUUGUUGGUGGGGUAAUGGCCUACCAAGGCGUCGACGGGUAGCCGGCCUGAGAGGGCGACCGGCCACACUGGGACUGAGACACGGCCCAGACUCCUACGGGAG
rnacentral:rRNA from 1 species